GUUGAUGUAGUGUAUUUAGCAUGAUGGUUUUUCGUAUCAUUAGGAAUUUGAGUUAAUUGUUA
rnacentral:tRNA from 1 species